CCCAGACUCCUACGGGAGGCAGCAGUAGGGAAUCUUUCACAAUGGGCGAAAGCCUGAUGGAGCAACGCCGCGUGCAGGAUGAAGGCCUUCGGGUUGUAAACUGCUUUUAUAAGCGAGAAAUAUGAUGGUAACUUAUGAAUAAGGAUCGGCUAACUACGUGCCAGCAGCCGCGGUAAUACGGAGGAUGCGAGCGUUAUCCGGAUUUAUUGGGUUUAAAGGGUGCGUAGGCGGAACAUUAAGUCAGCGGUAAAAUCGAGGGGCUCAACCCCUUUAAGCCGUUGAAACUGGUGAUCUUGAGUGGGCGAGAAGUAUGCGGAAUGCGUGGUGUAGCGGUGAAAUGCAUAGAUAUCACGCAGAACUCCGAUUGCGAAGGCAGCAUACCGGCGCCCGACUGACGCGGAGGCACGAAAGCGUGGGGAUCGAACAGGAUUAGAUACCCCAG
rnacentral:rRNA from 1 species